rnacentral:sRNA from 1 species
UUUUUGCGUUAAGGAUAGGAGUGAAAAGCCCACAGCGUAGCGAGGACUUGUAGCGUAUAGCCUGCCCGUAG